AUCAUUAGUGAAUAUAGGACGUCCAACUUAACUUGGAGUCCGAACUCUCACUUUCUAACCCUGUGCACUUGUUUGGGAUAGUAACUCUCGCAAGAGAGCGAACUCCUAUUCACUUAUAAACACAAAGUCUAUGAAUGUAUUAAAUUUUAUAACAAAAUAAAACUUUCAACAACGGAUCUCUUGGCUCUCGCAUCGAUGAAGAACGCAGCGAAAUGCGAUAAGUAAUGUGAAUUGCAGAAUUCAGUGAAUCAUCGAAUCUUUGAACGCACCUUGCGCUCCAUGGUAUUCCGUGGAGCAUGCCUGUUUGAGUGUCAUGAAUACUUCAACCCUCCUCUUUCUUAAUGAUUGAAGAGGUGUUUGGUUUCUGAGCGCUGCUGGCCUUUACGGUCUAGCUCGUUCGUAAUGCAUUAGCAUCCGCAAUCGAACUUCGGAUUGACUUGGCGUAAUAGACUAUUCGCUGAGGAAUUCUAGUCUUCGGAUUAGAGCCGGGUUGGGUUAAAGGAAGCUUCUAAUCAGAAUGUCUACAUUUUAAGAUUAGAUCUCAAAUCAGGUAGGACUACCCGCUGAACUUAAGCAUAUCAAUAAGCGGAGGAAAAGAAACUAACAAGGAUUCCCCUAGUAGCGGCGAGCGAAGCGGGAAGAGCUCAAAUUUAUAAUCUGGCACCUUCGGUGUCCGAGUUGUAAUCUCUAGAAAUGUUUUCCGCGUUGGACCGCACACAAGUCUGUUGGAAUACAGCGGCAUAGUGGUGAGACCCCCGUAUAUGGUGCGGACGCCCAGCGCUUUGUGAUACAUUUUCGAAGAGUCGAGUUGUUUGGGAAUGCAGCUCAAAUUGGGUGGUAAAUUCCAUCUAAAGCUAAAUAUUGGCGAGAGACCGAUAGCGAACAAGUACCGUGAGGGAAAGAUGAAAAGCACUUUGGAAAGAGAGUUAACAGUACGUGAAAUUGUUGGAAGGGAAACGCUUGAAGUCAGACUUGCUUGCCGAGCAAUCGGUUUGCAGGCCAGCAUCAGUUUUCCGGGAUGGAUAAUGGUAGAGAGAAGGUAGCAGUUUCGGCUGUGUUAUAGCUCUCUGCUGGAUACAUCUUGGGGGACUGAGGAACGCAGUGUGCCUUUGGCGGGGGUUUCGACCUCUCACACU
rnacentral:rRNA from 1 species